rnacentral:rRNA from 1 species
GCAUGCUUAAUACAUGCAAGUCGAACGGUAACAUGCCCUUCGGGGUGAUGACGAGUGGCGGACGGGUGAGUAAUGCAUAGGAAUCUACCCAGUAGACGGGGAACAACUUGGGGAAACUCAAGCUAAUACCGCGUAAGCCUUACGGGGGAUAGCGGGGGACUUUUUAGGAAGCCUCGCGAUAUUGGAUGAGCCUAUGCCGGAUUAGCUAGUUGGUGGGGUAAAAGCUUACCAAGGCUACGAUCCGUAGCUGGUCUGAGAGGACGAUCAGCCACACUGGGACUGAGACACGGCCCAGACUCCUACGGGAGGCAGCAGUAGGGAAUAUUGGACAAUGGGCGAAAGCUUGAUCCAGCAAUGCCGCGUGUGUGAAGAAGGCCUGCGGGUUGUAAAGCACUUUCAGUUGGGAAGAAAAGCUUUAGGUUAAUACCCUGAAGUAUUGACGUUACCAACAGAAGAAGCACCGGCUAACUCUGUGCCAGCAGCCGCGGUAAUACAGAGGGUGCGAGCGUUAAUCGGAAUUACUGGGCGUAAAGCGUACGUAGGCGGUUGAGUCAGUCGGAUGUGAAAGCCCAAGGCUUAACCUUGGAACUGCAUUCGAUACUACUCGGCUAGAGUACAGGAGAGGGAAGCGGAAUUCCUAGUGUAGCGGUGAAAUGCGUAGAGAUUAGGAGGAACACCAGUGGCGAAGGCGGCUUCUUGGACUGAUACUGACGCUGAGGUACGAAAGCGUGGGGAGCAAACAGGAUUAGAUACCCUGCUAGUCCACGCCCUAAAACGAUGAGAACUAGAUGUUGGGGGAAUUUAAUCCCUUAGUAUCGCA